UACGUAGGGUGCGAGCGUUGCCCGGAUUUAUUGGGCGUAAAGGGCGCGUAGGCGGCCUUCUAAGUCGAACGUGAAAUCCCCGGGCUCAACCCGGGAACUGCGUCCGAUACUGGCAGGCUUGAAUCCGGGAGAGGGAUGCGGAAUUCCAGGUGUAGCGGUGAAAUGCGUUGAGAUCGGAAGGAACGCCCGUGGCGAAAGCGGUUGCCUGGAGCUUGCUGACGCUGAUGCGCGAAAGCGUGGGGAGCGAUCCGG
rnacentral:rRNA from 1 species